GAUGAACGCUGGCGGCGUGCUUAACACAUGCAAGUCGAACGGGAUCCCAGGAGCUUGCUCCUGGGUGAGAGUGGCGAACGGGUGAGUAAUGCGUGACCGACCUGCCCCAUACACCGGAAUAGCUCCUGGAAACGGGUGGUAAUGCCGGAUGCUCCAGUUGGAUGCAUGUCCUUCUGGGAAAGAUUCUAUCGGUAUGGGAUGGGGUCGCGUCCUAUCAGCUUGAUGGCGGGGUAACGGCCCACCAUGGCUUCGACGGGUAGCCGGCCUGAGAGGGCGACCGGCCACAUUGGGACUGAGAUACGGCCCAGACUCCUACGGGAGGCAGCAGUGGGGAAUAUUGCACAAUGGGCGCAAGCCUGAUGCAGCGACGCCGCGUGCGGGAUGACGGCCUUCGGGUUGUAAACCGCUUUUGACUGGGAGCAAGCCCUUCGGGGUGAGUGUACCUUUCGAAUAAGCACCGGCUAACUA
rnacentral:rRNA from 1 species